AUCGUCAACGGUCUGGCGGGAACGAACAGGAACUGAUAGGGACUCACUACAGUUUAUGGAAAGGGUCGUCACAUGGAUUUUGUUGUCUCGUUUUCCGGCAUAAGGGAUCGCUGAGCUCUACUCGCCGCUUGACGAACACCCUUCCCGACGAUAGAUCCUUCAUGACGAGAGGGGAUCGACGGCGGAAUCUUGUGAACGCAUCUUCAACAGCGGCGUCGCAGCGAUAGGAUGUUUGAACGGCAUGCGAUUUAGCACGAUAUACACACUCUCCGUUUAAAUGCGCUGUUGAGUGACGUCGCGGAAAGCAUGGAGAGUAACACGAAGACACGACGAAGGAAAGUGUCGGAGAAGACCGACGAGUGCCAAAGCAAACGUUCCAGGCUUGACGAGGAUAACUAUGAGAAACAAAUCGAAGAGACUGCUGGAAAAGUGAAAAAGAUUCGUCUUUAUAACUUUAUGUGUCAUGAAGCAUUGGAAAUAACGUUGAACAAUAAUGUUAAUUUUAUUGUGGGACGCAAUGGCAGUGGCAAGAGUGCCAUACUGACUGCAUUAACUAUAGGACUCGGUGCAAGAGCAAACGUUACGAGCAGAGGAACGUCAGUUAAAGAAUUUAUAAAGAAGGGCAGGAACUCUGCUAUUGUUGAGAUAACUUUAGUUAAUGAAGGAGACAGUGCAUAUAAGCCUGAUGUUUAUGGUGACACAAUUACAGUUACACGUACUAUUCGUACUAGUGGAACUAGCUCGACAUAUAAAAUAAAAAAUUGGAGAGGAGAAAUUAUUUCUUCCAAACGAGAUGAAUUGGAUAAUAUAAUAACAAUGAUGAAUAUACAGAUUGAUAAUCCAAUAUCUGUUUUGAAUCAGGAUGUUUCGAGAACAUUUUUGGUUACCUCUAAGCCUGAUGAAAAGUAUAAUCUUUUCAUGAAAGCUACUUUUUUGGAUGCCAUUGAAAACAAUUAUAAAGAAGCUCUUAAUAUAUGUGAAGAAGAGUAUAGUAAAUUAAAACACUAUUCCGCGACCUUGUCACAAGUAAAGGGAGAAAUACAAAAAUUAAAGGAAAGUAUACGUAGAUUAGAAGAAAUGGAUGAAUCACGAGAAGAAUUAAACAAUCUCGAAAAAGAACUUCAAUGGGCUGUGGCGAUUGCGGAGGAAACCAGGCUUAACAAACUACAAGAGACUGUAAAGAUGUAUGAAGAUAAUAUGAACAAACUUCAAAAUGUGCAAUUAUCUACAGAAACAAAGGAUGCAGAAAUUGACGAAAAAAUCACAGAAAUAAAGACAAAAAUUCAGCAGGCAGAACAGGAAGCAAUAGAUAGUCAAGAAGCUUAUAAAUGUGCAAAACAAAAAUAUCUUGCUGCAAAUGAAGCAUAUGGUAGUAAACAGCGCGAAUGUCGUUCUGCAACACAUAAAAUAAAACGAUUAAUAGACGAUAUUAAUUUGCUACAGAAGGAAAUUCAAAAAAUAGAAAGUUCCAACGAUGAAGAACACAACAAUACAAAGGAAAUGAAAGAGCGUCUGGCAAAGUUGGAAGAAAGAUUGGAUGAAAUUGAUGCCUCGUUACGCACCAAACAAACUGAAUUAAUGCAUUUAGAAGCCGAUAGAAUGCGACUUAUGCAAGAAGUAAAUUUCGCUAAAAAUGAAAUGGAGAAUUGUAACAGACAUAUAAGUAAGAUCCAAAGCAACUUAAAUGCAGUCGAGCAACAGUCGGAUGAUGCAUUAAGUGUAUUUGGGCCAAACAUUCCGCGUCUAUUGAAGAGAAUCGACGAAGAGUACAGAAGAAAGCGAUUCCAAAAAAAACCACGUGGUCCUAUUGGUGCUUUCAUAAAAAUGAAGGACGCUGCUUGGGCACCAGCGGUGGAACAUUUUCUAGGUAAAAACUUUCUUAACUCGUUCUGCGUGGAUAACAAUCAAGAUGCAAAGUUGUUGAACAGUAUUAUGAAGGAAAUAUUUUAUAAAGGAAACACUCUCCAAAUAAUAUCUAGUAAAUUCUUUGACCAGGUACAUGAUGUUAGACGUCACUGCACACAGUCGCCGGACUAUUCUAAUCUCUUGGAAGCGAUGGUUAUAGAAGAUCCUGUCAUAGCUAAUUGCUUGAUUGAUCAACGCGAAAUUGAAUGUGUUCUUCUUAUACCAACAAAUGAUGAAGCCUGUGUGAUAAUGUCGGACGCGACCAAAGUGCCAAAAAAUUGCAAGAGAGCGUUUAAUUUACACGGUGACACAUACUUUCCUGACCCAAAUUAUAGAACUUAUGGUGGAAACUGUAAUGCGCGCGCUAACUAUCUUCAAGUUUCUACCAUGGAAGCAAUGCAAACGUUGAAGGAAGACCUUCAGGCAGCGGAAAACAAGAAGCAAGAAGCUGUUGCAGCGUACGACGCUGUUUGUGAGAGAGUAAACCGAACUAAUUCUGAAUUGAGUAAUGUAAAUGCGACAGUUCGGAAGUUAAUGUCUUCGCAAAGUGAAUGUACUAAUUUGAUUAAUGAAUUAAAAGAUAAAAUUGGAUCGACCGAAGCCACUUCUGCUGACGUUUUUCGAAACGAAGCUGCAGAAUUGGAAAAGAAAUUAGCGCAGGAAAAAGCCACGGAAAAGCUUUUAGCUGAAAAUUUGAAGGAACUUAAAAAAAAUGUUGAAUCUCUUGACACUGAAGUUAAGCGUUGCAGAGACUUAAGACAUAAUUUAGACACAGUAAUUGAUCCUCUUAAAGAUCAAAUAAAAGAAUUUACAGGAGAAAAAGAAAAACAUCGGAAUGAGUGUCAGCGUGCCACUCGAAAGUUACAGGAAAUUCGCCAAAAUAUGCAGUGCACAAAGGCGGAAUUAGAAAUACAAGAAAGAGCUACGAAGAAAGCAGUUUCCAACGCCACUGAACAAUGUCCAAGGAUAAAUACUACCAGAUCAAAACCUCAAAUCAAAACUUUACUAACCGAUUUACGCGCUAAGAUUCGUGAGAUAGAGAAUCAAUUCGGUUGUGCGGAUGAAUUACGGCUGCAAUUGAAGGAGAAGGAAGCAAAGUAUGGAACAAACAUUGAGCUUACAUCUCGAUUGAAACAAAGUUGUAAAAAACACAUUGAACGAGUGAAACAACGGCAGGAAAUGUUUAUCCAAUUAAGAGAUAUGUACAGUGUUUGUGUGCAAAAGUGUUUUACCGAUGUGCUUUCUUUAAGACAAUAUAAAGGCAAAGUGGUGAUCGAUCACACAAACAAAAUGCUCAACUUACAUGUAAGUGCACGAGACGAAAAGAGGAGCAACGAUACCAGAUCGCUUUCGGGAGGCGAACGAUCUUACUCUACCGUCGCAUUUAUUUUGGCUCUCUGGGAUUGUAUUCAGUUACCUUUUUACUUUCUCGAUGAAUUCGAUGUAUUUAUGGACAAAGUAAACCGACGAGUGAUAAUGGAUAUCCUUUUGGAUCACACUAGAUUGCAUUCUCAGAGCCAAUUCACUUUUCUCACACCUCUAGACACGUCGCAUAUUCUUGCCGAAGAUUACGUUACAAUUCAUCAGUUCCCAUCUCUCCAGCCUUAUUUAGGUGCGCGAUGGAAUUAUAUCCGGAUAAGCUAAUCUGAGGAUUCCAGAGGACUUCUCUCCGGGUUUGAUUCAUUACCAAAACAGGCAGGAUAUCCCGAGUAGCCAGAGGUAGGCGAGACACGGUUGUAUCAAGAUAUCGCACGUCGCGGAGACCACGCCAGACCGGUCUAAACUCGCAAUAACGAUGAUAAUUAGGAAGAAGCAAUAAUUACGAAUAAAAAACGAGUCGGUGAAAAAAGUUAUGAUUAUUCAAACAUUCAGGACACAAAACGUUCCAGGUCUUAUUCUAAAUGAUUGAAAAAUUGUACACACAGCGAGAGAAAGAUGGCGAAGAAAGCGGAAGAUACUUUUCUCCCAUCAGUGAAAAAAUGAAUUAUAUAUUAAAGAUAUAAAUGCUAUUUCUAAGAAA
rnacentral:misc_RNA from 1 species